UGCCUUGAGACUGCCAUGCCAUGACAAACCACAGGGAGAGAGCACGGCCAAGGAGAAGCAGAGUACCAAGCACGUGAGUAUGAAGCCAUCUUGCCUGUCCAGCCCAGUGGAGGAGCUUCAGAUGACUCCAGCCUCCGCUGCCGUCUGACUAUAACUACAUGAGAGACUCCAAUGAACCUGCAGGAGGAGAAGAAAUACACCAUGGUCGGGAAAAUGACACCCAG